ensembl:lncRNA
ACAGCUAGAUUUUUGUGAUGUUCUAAGAACUGAACAUUCUCAGAGAGAGCUGAAAAAAGUCAGGACCACUGACAGGGCCAUCCAUCCCGUGACCUUGGGGAGGCAAAUCUGUCAGUUCUGAUCUCCUGCACUGUUCUGUCGUAUGUAUUCUCUGCUAGAACAUGUACGGUUUUGUGUGACUUGUCCUUGUAAACUUAUUUGUCUCUACAUAAUACAGUGGACUCAGGUGAGGCUGGAAACUGAAGGAAUUGGGAAUAAAUUACUGCUUUUUCAACACAGAGUGUAAAUUGUGGAAAGGUGAGAAUCUUGGCAUUGAGAAUGUGAAGAAUAUCUUACUCCACUUAAUAACAAGCUACAAUGGGAAGCAGUUUGUCCACUGCCAGUAUCUGACAGUCUCUUGCUCUCUCUUUAAUCCACCUUUCUCUAGCUCACAUUUCUGAAGCCCUGCAAGCUCUUCAGUCUUCAAGAUCCAUCGCACAAUCCCAAGGCUGGCUGAUGGAGUAAAGCAAAACUUUUUCCUUUAGCACCUAUAUUUCUCUUACUGUGUUCUUUUUUUCCCCUUUUCCCCAUGGCAAAGAAUCUAUGUGAUGAGUAUUUUUCAGACAUCUCUGAUGGCUGUGUCUAAGGGAGAAAGGAAGAAGGAAUAAAACAGACAAAAUAUGAAAACUUCUGCAAAGACAAAACCAAGAGGGUACUUAUUACACUUAAAAUGCUGCAGGAUGAGCAGAAGUAUAACUCUGGAACAGCAUGCUGAUCUUCUGCUGUUUGUCCUUUGGAAUAUAGAGAAAAACAGCUAGAGCCCCAAAAUGGGUUUUUUUGCACCUGCCUUCUGCCUCUCUGUCUCUUCCAGCUGUCUGGUGCAGAGAAACUGGGAAGCAGAGAGUUGACACUGUAGCCCAGAGGAGGAAAACUCUAUAGCAGACAAGGAACAGCCAAUGCAUAUCAGCAACCUGAAGAAGAUAGUAAAUGAUUCCAUUACCAAGGUGCAAGGACCUGGAUGUGAAGAGCAGCUAAUCACUGACCUGCUGAGGCUGGAAUAUCAGCCUGUGGUCUGCUCCUCUGGUCCAUUCCAGGCCCCACAGCAUCUGUUACUCCAACCACCACAGCUGGAGUUAGAAGGAAAUGGGUCACACUGAGACAUAUGGAGAAAGGUAUCUGCAGGCAAGUUGGUCCUAAACUGUUUAAGUUUUAUUCAUAUUUACAGCUUGAAUAUAAAUGUCUUUGUGUAUAUGUGUAUAUUAUAAUCCCAGAUCUUAUAGAAGACAAUUUGACCCCUUCCCCUUAGAAGAACAGCAUCUAAUCCAUAUCUGAGCCCCUGUGUUGACUCAGGGGGAGGAGUGCCAUCUACUGAGUCUCCCUUGUGAGUUCACACUUCAUCUGCCAGGGCUCCUGUCAAGAUCCUCAGGGCAAGUGCCCAACCAGAGUACAGCAACUCCUCCUUUUCUUAAGAAGAAACUUUUUUAUUAAGCAUACACUGUAAACCUUUGGUUUUCCCCAGAAGCCCUUCUUACUGCCAAACCCAAAGUUUUGUGUUUACCUAUUUGCACUAUUUAUUUAUCUAUUUAUUUUUAUUUAAAGGGAAACAUGCAAAGUAGUGCCACAUUAUUAUUAAAGCUGGUUCCCUGAUCAAAUCAGGGGGUGAGUCUCAGUGACA